rnacentral:rRNA from 1 species
UCGAACGAGAAAUUCCCCGCUUGCGGGGAAGAGUAAAGUGGCGCACGGGUGAGUAACGCGUGGGUAAUCUGCCCUUGAAUUUGGAAUAACUUCGCGAAAGCGUUGCUAAUACCGAAUAUUGUCCCUUUUGCCGUGGCAUUGGGGAUGAAAGGUGACCUCUUCAUGAAAGUUGCCGUUCAAGGAGGAGCCCGCGUACCAUUAGCUUGUUGGUAGGGUAAUGGCCUACCAAGGCGACGAUGGUUAGCUGGUCUGAGAGGAUGAUCAGCCACACUGGAACUGAAACACGGUCCAGACUCCUCCGGGAGGCAGCGGUGAGGAAUUUUGCGCAAUGGGGGAAACCCUGACGCAGCAACGCCGCGUGAGUGAUGAAGACCUUCGGGUCGUAAAGCUCUGUCAAGUGGGAAGAAAUACUUACAGUUAAUACCUGUAAGGACUGAUGGUACCACUGGAGGAAGCACCGGCUAACUCCGUGCCAGCAGCCGCGGUAAUACGGAGGGUGCAAGCGUUGUUUGKUAUC